CCUACGGGAGGCUGCAGUGGGGAAUUUUGCGCAAUGGGCGAAAGCCUGACGCAGCAACGCCGCGUGGGUGAUGAAGGUCUUCGGAUCGUAAAACCCUGUCGUUGGGGACGAAGGUGGGGGCGUUAAUAGCGUUUCUGCUUGACGGUACCCGGAGAGGAAGCCCCGGCUAACUCUGUGCCAGCAGCCGCGGUAAUACAGAGGGGGCAAGUUUUAUUCGGAGGGCGUGUAGGUGGAGGGCGAGGACGGGUGUGUAAUCCCCGAGCUCAACUUGGGAACUGCAGCUGAUACUGGAAGGCUAGAGUACUGGAGAGGGUGGUGGAAUUCCUCGUGUAGCGGUGAAAUGCGUAGAGAUGAGGAGGAACACCAGUGGCGAAGGCGGCCACCUGGACAGUAACUGACGCUGAGGCGCGAAAGUGUGGGUAGCAAACAGGAUUAGAUACCCGAGUAGUC
rnacentral:rRNA from 1 species